GCCAUUGCCCCACACUCAUUGGUCAAAGCCCCACACCUUCCAGGGCACAAGCUGGCCCCUUCUUUCCUAAUGAAUGUUAGCAUGCACCCGAUCCAUCUAUGCCUGUCAAGGACGUCACUCACACUUUGACUACAACUAGCAAAUCAAACAAACACCUGGUGGCCAGAUCUCCCUUGCCAGGGUGUUCUCUCUGUAACACAGAUGGGAGGCAGGCACUAGAUUGUUGCUGGGUGGGUGGUGAAAUCCCGGUACAAAGAGGAAGGCCAAGUCCUCUCUCAGGUCUUAGGAAACCUGCGGCCUCUCUCCCUCUGAUCUCCGACUGCCGGACUCAAUCACUACAGGCAGUGUGGUCUCAUUUAAAGAAAAAUAAGUCCUGCUGGGCAAGAAGUUGGGAGGACUGUAUGUUAUUAGUUCCUUGGCGUUUGGAUAGGAGUGUCAGCCAGAAAAGAGUUUAAAAAGGUAAAGAAGUACAUGGGUGAUUUUGGAUCAAUUUUCCAUUUGAAACAGCUCAGCAAACAGCCGACUACGCCUAAUGGGCCCUUGAAAUGCUCUCUUUUAUGAAAUUCCAGAUGUGAAAAAGGACACACUACAAAAUCAGCUGGUGUGUUCAUCUCAUUCUGAGAAUCAGGCUGAAGGAACAACCUCUAUCUGGAACAUGCUUUACAUAUCAGAAGGAGAAGAAAGAAAGCAGGGAAAGAAAACAGGCAUCAUGAUGGCAACUAAAGGGUGAUGAGCUUGUUUCCCACUUCACUGGAAAACAAAAUGGGAAUAUUCAGAAGAUAAGUUCCACAGCUCCCAUAGCAUCUUCCUAUCUACCAGGAUUUGGACCUUCUACACCCUGCUCCCAUUAAGGAAUUAGCCUUGCUCUUGUCCAAAACUAGCCUUUGCGUAUGCCUUAGAUCCUAUCCCCCUUGCUUGCUCACAGGCUUUGCUCCAGCAAUUCUCCCUAUUUUUCCCCUAUACCAUCAGCUUCCUCUCUCUACUAGGUCAUUUCCACCAGCACACAACAAUACUGUCUCUCUCAUCUUAGAAAUGGAAACUAACAAAAUUGAGUUCACUUUUCCUUCUGACACUAUCCCUUUUCUACCUCCCCCACUUUACAGCAAAACUCUUUGAAAGCUGCCUGAAUUUCACUGCUUCCAUUUCCUCUCCUCUUCUCACUUAAACCUACUGCUGCCAGAACCGGGACUCCACCACCUCACCAGACCCCUGCUUGUCAAUAUCAUCAAUGACUUCCAUCUUGCUAAAUCCAUUUCUUGUCCCCAUUGAACUUGACCCUCAGUAACACCUUGUCAAAUUAACCACUCCCUUCUCAUGGAAAUGAUUUCUUGUUUUCUAAGACACUACACAUUUCGUUUUCCUUCAACACCCCUGGAUGCUGCUUCCCAGUCUUGUCCCUUAACCUCCUAGCACUGAAGUGAUGCAGGGCUCAGUCCACAGAUCUCUUCAUCUUUCCUGUUCACUCCAUACUCACCCUCUUGGUAAUUCCCUUCCAGUUUCAUCGUUUAAAUGGCAUCUGUCUGCAAAUGAUUAUCAAAUGUAUGCCUCCAGCCAUGGCCACUGCUCUCAACGUUAGCUUAUCCAUCUAACUGUCAACUCUGUAUCUCUACCUGGACGCCUGAUGGAGGUCUCCAAUGUACCAUGCCCUAAACUGAAAUUUUGAUCUUCUUUAUCCACAGAAUCUGCUCGACCCUAUCUCAGUUAAAGGUAUCUAUGCCCUGGUCUAGAAGGCCUUCAGUAAUUAGAAAGCAUGUAUUUUGUGUGUAUGCCUUGAUAAGUGUUGACUGUAGCUAUAGCAAGGGAUAAUUCAUCAUCAGGAAAUGGUCAGGAGAGUGUCUCCAAAUCUUUUAAGCAUGCGCUAACCUUCAUAUAUAGGGUCCUUGUAUUACCUUUUCUCAAGUUGUACUAUAAUGUCCCGACCUUCAAAAGACCUUAUCCUUGUACAUUUGAGGACUCUUAUCUUUCCUAAUUAAAGUCAGAUGGUUGUCUUGUGGGUUUUCUUCUUCCUUUCUCUUUUGUGAGCUGCCUCUUAACAGCUGUGGUGUGUUGCUAGUGAAUUAUCAGUGGACAG
rnacentral:lncRNA from 10 species